UACAGAGGGGGCAAGCGUUGUUCGGAAUUACUGGGCGUAAAGGGCGCGUAGGCGGCCGCCUAAGUCAGACGUGAAAUCCCUCGGCUCAACCGGGGAACUGCGUCUGAUACUGGAUGGCUUGAGUUUGGGAGAGGGAUGCGGAAUUCCAGGUGUAGCGGUGAAAUGCGUAGAUAUCGGGAGGAACACCAGUGGCGAAAGCGGCUACCUGGCCCAUUCUUGACGCUGAGGCGCGAAAGCUAGGGGAGCAAACGGG
rnacentral:rRNA from 1 species